UACGUAGGGUGCUAGCGUUGUCCGGAAUUAUUGGGCGUAAAGAGCUCGUAGGCGGUGUGUCACGUCGGCCGUGAAAACCUGCAGCUUAACUGUGGGCGUGCGGUCGAUACGGGCAUCACUGGAGUUCGGCAGGGGAGACUGGAAUUCCUGGUGUAGCGGUGAAAUGCGCAGAUCUCAGGAGGAACACCGGUGGCGAAGGCGGGUCUCUGGGCCGAUACUGACGCUGAGGAGCGAAAGCGUGGGGAGCGAACAGG
rnacentral:rRNA from 1 species